ensembl:snRNA U2 U2 spliceosomal RNA
GCUGCUCGGGGGAGGUGGAAGGGGGGUUUAGGGUUGGGGUUAUUUUAGAUUUUUAGAACAGGGAGUCGGAAAUGGGGCUUGCUCCGUCCGCUCCACACAUCGACCCGGUAUUGCAGUACCUCCGGGAACGGUGCAACACUU